rnacentral:lncRNA from 1 species
UCUUUAAGUACUUUCCACUCAAAAUUAUUUUUAAACAUAAUAGCUACACCUCUUGAAUUUGAAGAAAAGGAUGAAAAGUAGCAUUCAUAUCCCCAUAACGUUCUUAUACUAUUUUCUUUAUCCACUGUGAAAUGAGUGUCUUGAAGACAGUAAAUGUUAUGGUUUCCAGAUUUUAGAAAACUAAAUACAUCCCUCCUUUUAGAUAAAUCACCCAGACCCUGACAGUUAACAGACAGUAUCUUUAAAGAGCCCAUAAUGGUUUGAAAUAUGUGUACAUCAUCAUUUCAUAUAGGCAUGCAUUUUUACAUAUGAUUAUCCAUAUUAUACAUUCACAUGAGACACAAAGACAUAUACAGAAAGAUUUGCUCAAAACAUCUAGAUAUGGUGGUAUAAAAAUUCUCGACAUACAUGUAUUACCAAGCUUCGUACAGGGACCAACAGUGUAAUUCAAUACUUUACAGACAUUCAAUUCAUAGAAAAAAUAUAAUUAACAGACAAAAAAAGUGUUAAAAAAAAUAAAUAUUUCAAUAUGUUUUGCCACAUUGUAGUUGAGAUUUGUCAGUUUUUGCAGUUUGCCUUAUAUGACACCAAC